GGGCUAGCAAAAUCUGAGAAGAAGGAGAAGGUGGUGGAGGACAAGGACACUUAGUGAUAGGAGCUAAUGGAGAGGAAAGAGGCUGAAGCUAUAAAAGAAAGAGAAGUGGAAACAAUCCUGGAGACGGGUCAGUGGACCGGUUCAAGUGUUGAAGAUUCCACCACAACAGUUCAGUAAGCGGCUGGAGAAAGGGCUAAAGUCUCAACAAGGAACACAAGGUGACCUAUUCUUGUGUGGAAAAGCAUAGAAUGUGCACAAAGGAGGAAGCAUCCAUCAGAGGACACAGACCGUGUUCAUAUAUAUGUGGACAACCAGUGAGUGUGAAAAGAAUGAGCGUUGG
ensembl:lncRNA